GCGCGCGCCCAGCCCGGGCGGUGGGCGUUGCUGGGCGGGGCGGCGGCGCCCCCUCGCGGCUGAGCGGGCAGGUGGGCGACUCCCAGGCCUUCGGCCACGCCCAUCAGCCUCUGUCCCUCUCAAAAUCACUCGCCUGACCUUCGCCGCUGGCAGACUCGGCCACAUUCUGCCAUGCGUCUGCCCGUUCAUCAGUCACUCGGCCAUCACAUGCCUGUCCCCUGGAGAGUCAGGUUUGUCCACCUGUCCGUCUGUCUGUCUCCCGGCCAGGAAGCCUAAGUUCAUAAGUGAAGUCACCUGCCACAGCCCCACAGCUAUGAAGUGGCAGAGUCAGGAUUCACACCCAAGACUGUCUGACCAAGCCGUGGCUCAGGAAGGCGAGUGUCGAGUGGUGCCGCAGCCUCUGGGCAUGUCCAGGAUCCUCAGUUGACUUGGACACAACACCGUGGGAAGACCCUGGCUGCCUAUGAAUGCAGGGGAAGGGCACGGUCUGGGUCACUGUCCUUCUUAAAACCUUCAGCACACCAGAAUAAAGCCCAAUUAUUUUCUAA